ACAACGGCACUGACUGGUGGGAGCCACCCCUGCCAUGCUAAUGUUGGAGAAGCAAGAACUCUGGAGAAGCAGCCUCCUGGGACCAGAAGAGGGCCAGCAGCGGGCAGCUCAGAGACAGAACUCUCACCCACGCCUCCCCAAGCCUCCCGACAGAAGACAGAGGUCCCCCACAGCCCAGAGACAUUUCCUGAAGACAUGGGGAGCACAGAGGUGGAAACAGCCCAUCCACCCAGGAGCGGCCCCCAACGCUGCCGGCAGCCAGCACCCAGAGCCAUCAGGCGCAGUGGGAGCCGUGGAGAGUGGAGUAGACCAGCUGUCCGUGAUCCCCAAAGGAGUCCAAUGUUGGAAUCACUCCCCAGCCAAAUGUAGGAUUUUUAAAAAUCUAUUUAUUUAUUUGUGUAGAGACCAGGCGAUGAGACUGGCUAAUUUUUUGUAUUUUUUGAUAGAGACAGGAUUUCAUCGUGUUGCCCAGGCUGGUCUUGAACUCCUGGGCUCAAGCGAUCCACUGGCCUCAGCUUCCCAAAGUGCUCGGGAUUACAGGCGUGAGUCACAGUGCCCAGCCACCAAAUGCAGUUGA
rnacentral:lncRNA from 1 species